AGUGAACGUUGGCGGCGUGGAUUAGGCAUGCAAGUCGAGCGAGAACCGUAGCAAUACGGGGACAGCGGCGAAAGGGACAGUAAUGUGUAGGUACCUACCUCCGGGUUCGGGAUAGCUGCGGGAAACUGCAGGUAAUACCGAAUAACGUCUCCGGACCAAAGGUGUGAUUCCACCUGGAGAGGGGCCUGCAUCCUAUUAGCUCGUUGGCGGGGUAACGGCCCACCAAGGCGACGAUGGGUAGCGGGUGUGAGAGCACGACCCGCGUCAUUGGGACUGAGACACUGCCCAGACACCUACGGGUGGCUGCAGUCGUGAAUCUUCGGCAAUGGGCGCAAGCCUGACCGAGCGACGCCGCGUGCGGGAUGAAGGCCUUCGGGUUGUAAACCGCUGUCGUAGAGGAGGAAAUGCAGGGGGGUUCUCCCCUCUGUUUGACCUAUUCUAGGAGGAAGUACGGGCUAAGUUCGUGCCAGCCGCCGCCGUAA
rnacentral:rRNA from 1 species